rnacentral:rRNA from 1 species
UAGGGAAUCUUCGGCAAUGGACGAAAGUCUGACCGAGCAACGCCGCGUGAGUGAAGAAGGUUUUCGGAUUGUAAAACUCUGUUGUUAGAGAAGAACAAGGAUGAGAGUAGAAUGUUCAUCCCUUGACGGUAUCUAACCAGAAAGCCACGGCUAACUACGUGCCAGCAGCCGCGGUAAUACGUAGGUGGCAAGCGUUGUCCGGAUUUAUUGGGCGUAAAGCGAGCGCAGGCGGUUUCUUAAGUCUGAUGGGAAAGCCCCCGGCUCAACCGGGGAGGGUCAUUGGAAACUGGGGAACUGGAGUGCAGAAGGGGGGAGGGGAAUUCCAGGUGUAGCGGUGAAAUGCGUAGAUAUAUGGAGGAACACCAGUGGCGAAGGCGGCUCUCUGGUCUGUAACUGACGCUGAGGCUCGAAAGCGUGGGGAGCAAACAGG